rnacentral:tRNA from 1 species
GCGGGGGUAGCCAAGCCAGGUCCAAGGCGCCGGAUUCAGGGUCCGGUGGGCGUCAGGCCCGCGUGGGUUCGAAUCCCACCCCCCGCACCA